AUCCUCGUUCCUGCAGGGCGGAUCUGGAGCCACGAGGAGCGGCGGGCGCCGCUGGUGACGGCCCAUUAUUACUUUUGGUACGCGCUGUGACACUUCAAACUCGUACCGUGAGUAAUAAUGCGCUGUGGCCAG